rnacentral:rRNA from 1 species
GACGUAGGGCGCGAGCGUUGUCCGGAUUUAUUGGGCGUAAAGAGCUCGUAGGCGGCUUGUCGCGUCGUCCGUGAAAACCUGCAGCUCAACUGCAGGCUUGCGGUCGAUACGGGCAGGCUAGAGUUCGGUAGGGGAGACUGGAAUUCCUGGUGUAGCGGUGAAAUGCGCAGAUAUCAGGAGGAACACCGGUGGCGAAGGCGGGUCUCUGGGCCGAUACUGACGUGAGGAGCGAAAAGCGUGGGGGAGCGAACAGG